AGUGAACGCUGGCGGUAGGCCUAACACAUGCAAGUCGAACGGCAGCACAGUAAGAGCUUGCUCUUACGGGUGGCGAGUGGCGGACGGGUGAGGAAUACAUCGGAAUCUACUUUUUCGUGGGGGAUAACGUAGGGAGACUUACGCUAAUACCGCAUACGACCUACGGGUGAAAGCAGGGGAUCUUCGGGCCUUGCGCGAUUGAAUGAGCCGAUGUCGGAUUAGCUAGUUGGCGGGGUAAAGGCCCACCAAGGCGACGAUCCGUAGCUGGUCUGAGAGGAUGAUCAGCCACACUGGAACUGAGACACGGUCCAGACUCCUACGGGAGGCAGCAGUGGGGAAUAUUGGACAAUGGGCGCAAGCCUGAUCCAGCCAUACCGCGUGGGUGAAGAAGGCCUUCGGGUUGUAAAGCCCUUUUGUUGGGAAAGAAAAGCAGCAGGUUAAUACCCCGCUGUUCUGACGGUACCCAAAGAAUAAGCACCGGCUAACUUCGUG
rnacentral:rRNA from 1 species